rnacentral:rRNA from 1 species
GGUUAAGCGACUAAGCGUACACGGUGGAUGCCCUGGCAGUCAGAGGCGAUGAAGGACGUGCUAAUCUGCGAUAAGCGUCGGUAAGGUGAUAUGAACCGUUAUAACCGGCGAUUUCCGAAUGGGGAAACCCAGUGUGAUUCGUCACACUAUCAUUAACUGAAUCCAUAGGUUAAUGAGGCGAACCGGGGGAACUGAAACAUCUAAGUACCCCGAGGAAAAGAAAUCAACCGAGAUUCCCCCAGUAGCGGCGAGCGAACGGGGAGCAGCCCAGAGCCUGAAUCAGUGUGUGUGUUAGUGGAAGCGUCUGGAAAGGCGCGCGAUACAGGGUGACAGCCCCGUACACAAAAAUGCACAUGCUGUGAGCUCGAUGAGUAGGGCGGGACACGUGGUAUCCUGUCUGAAUAUGGGGGGACCAUCCUCCAAGGCUAAAUACUCCUGACUGACCGAUAGUGAACCAGUACCGUGAGGGAAAGGCGAAAAGAACCCCGGCGAGGGGAGUGAAAAAGAACCUGAAACCGUGUACGUACAAGCAGUGGGAGCACGCUUAGG